UGUAAUAUUUAUGUUGAUAUCAACACAUAAAAUUGUAAAUAUAGCAACAAAUAAUAACCUGUCAAAUACAUAAUAAAUGUCUAGCCUUGUAGACUGUUUAAUGUAUAUACAUGAUAGAUAGAUAUUUAUUUUCUCCUUCAUUGCCACUAUUACAUGGAUUAGGUGAGACAGAAAUACAUAAAAUGAAAUGUAAAAUGUAUAAGGUAUAUAUACUAAACACAUCUUCCAUAGACAUGGAUUGUGAAAGUCAACAAGGAUAUAAACCAAGGAAAAUUGCUCUGGACUUGGACAACCUGAAUGGCAGAUCAAUAUAUGGAGAAUUAAAUUGAAAGACGAAAAAGAAAGUUACAGGUCAAGCUGCACGACAGAAAUUCUCAGUAAAUGUAAUGCUGAUAUAUUUCCCGAUUUCCCAACGAACUCAUUGCAAAAUUCAAAACAUUCUCAUACUUAUAUAGGCAGAAAGAGAAACAGAAGAAUAAAAUACAGAUUUGAAAGGGUUAUAUUUUUAGGAGUGAAUAAUUUUUGGUAAAUGAAAGUUCUUGGCUUUCUUCCAUCCUUUGGAAGAUUCCCACUUUUUUUGUAUCGAAAUGGAGUAGUAGGAAGACAAAAACUUUCUUUACCAAAUAACAGACAUUAUUAAAAUGUAUCCUAAUAGAACUCAGAUGAAUUAUAAUGAGCCUUAUCACUCAAUAUAUCAAUCAGAUAUUCCAUUUUGAUACCUAAUCUGGUCUAUUAUUAUGGAAACAUUCUUCAGCAUAAAAAUUGAGGCAAAAAGUAUGUCUGAUGUUUGAAUAAAGCAGUUUUACCUGA